UUGGGCCUACGGGACGCAGCAGUGAGGAAUAUUGGUCAAUGGACGGAAGUCUGAACCAGCCAUGCCGCGUGCAGGAUGACGGCUCUAUGAGUUGUAAACUGCUUUUGUAUUAGGGUAAACACCCCUACGUGUAGGGGCUUGAAAGUAUAAUACGAAUAAGGAUCGGCUAACUCCGUGCCAGCAGCCGCGGUAAUACGGAGGAUCCAAGCGUUAUCCGGAUUUAUUGGGUUUAAAGGGUGCGUAGGCGGGUUGAUAAGUUAGAGGUGAAAUACUGGUGCUCAACACCGGAACUGCCUCUAAUACUU
rnacentral:rRNA from 1 species